rnacentral:rRNA from 1 species
ACCCGCUGAAUUUAAGCAUAUCACUAAGCGGAGGAAAAGAAACUAACCAGGAUUCCCCUAGUAACGGCGAGUGAAGAGGGAAAAGCCCAGCACCGAAGCCUGCGGCAGAUUUGCUGUUAGGCAAUGUGGUGUUUGGGUCGGCUCGUGGGAUUGCCACUCCACUCGAAGUCCAGCAUUGAGUAUGGUCACUGGAUUUGGCCCAGAGAGGGUGAAAGGCCCGUACGGGUGGAGGUUCAGACAUGUAAGGCAGUUCACCAGGCCGACCUUAGAGUCGGGUUGUUUGAGAAUGCAGCCCAAAGCGGGUGGUAAACUCCAUCCAAGGCUAAAUACAAGCACGAGUCCGAUAGCGAACAAGUACCGUGAGGGAAAGUUGAAAAGUACUCUGAAGAGAGAGUAAACAGUACGUGAAACCGCAUGCAGGUAAACGGGUGGCGUCAAGCUGCAAGCCCAGAGGAUUCAGCCGGCUAGGAUGUUGUGUAUGCGCCUGGCGCAUCUAUCAGUCGGAGUAUGAUUGGAUAGUCCACCGGAAGACGGUGGGCCCGGCCGCAAGGUCGGGAUAUGUGUACCGGGUGGGUGCCGGAGCAUGCUAUCCGUCUAGGGACUGUCUAGCCGGUGCACUUUCUCUGUGGUGAACACCACGACCGGUGGUAUUGCCAGUCUGCUGUGUCCAAGUCGUGCUUGGUAGGUCCUUGUGGCCAACUGGGUGCGAUGACAGGCAAACUCAGUAAACGGCGUAGAGGUAUCUCGGUAUCUUUGCGUGUUAUCGGCUACUGGUUGUCAACGGGCCUGCCCGAUGUGUGCUGUUGUAACCGGCAUCGGGUGGUCUGGUGGGGCAUGGUGGUAAGAAUAACUGUGCAAGGCACCGGAGUUAUCGGCCUCAAAUGCCUUCUGCGCCCAUGUUACAGUGGCAAUAGCAGUGUCGUUGCUGCCUGCCCGGUGUUGGGUCUGAUUGUCGUGUCGCCUGCACAAAGUAGGCCCGGCAGUGGUCCGACUCGGGAUGGGUAGUGGAUGAUGUUGUUAGUGCAGGAGGUGGUGGGCCCAAUAGUCAGUGGUGUAGUGGUAGACGAGCUACCCGACCCGUCUUGAAACACGGACCAAGGAGUUUAACAUGUAUGCGAGUCAAUGGGCGUUACGAAACCCAAAGGCGCAGUGAAAGUGAAGCUUCGACUUGUCUCGGAGUGAGGUGAGAUCCUGCUGUUACUCGCAUCAGCCUAAUGUCAGCAUCAGGCUCAAGAGCAGUAGGCGCAUCACCGGCCCGUCCCAUGAUGUGGUCAUUGGAUGUCUGUGGUUGUUGCCCUUCACGGGGUGGUGGCCAUGGUGCCAGUGCGUCAUCGGGGCGGUGCAUGAGCAUACAUGUUGAGACCCGAAAGAUGGUGAACUAUGCUUGCGUAGGUUGAAGCCAGAGGAAACUCUGGUGGAGGACCGCAGCGAUUCUGACGUGCAAAUCGAUCGUCAAACGUGAGCAUAGGGGCGAAAGACUAAUCGAACCAUCUAGUAGCUGGUUCCCUCCGAAGUUUCCCUCAGGAUAGC